rnacentral:tRNA from 1 species
GUUUUAUAAGUAUAUUUUAGUACAUUUAACUUCCAAUUAAAAAGAUUUUUAUUUAAUAAAACA